rnacentral:lncRNA from 1 species
GUCUCGAUCUCCUGACCUCAUGAUCCGCCUGCCUUGGCCUCCCAAAGUGCUGGGAUUACAAGCAUGAGCCGCUGUGCCCGGCCAGGGGCUUCUUUCCGAGUUCUCUCCCCUGGCUAAGCUGGAGGCUGACCAUCAGCACCCCAGAAGUCAGCCUAAGAGUGUCCCCGUGUCCUCGGCAGCACCCAGUGGGUGACUUUCCUAGUGGUUCCUGCUCUGUGUCUAAGCAUGCAAAAGCCCAGCUGAGGCUGUAGGUGCUGCAUCUAGCGGGUUUAGGACACUCCAACCCUGCCUCCUACUCCCCUGACACCCCGGGAUCACCUGAUGCAUGCUCUCCACACAGGCCACGAGGUCAUCACUCUCUCCCAACAGCCAUCCCAGCAGGAUGGGCAGUCCAGGGGCCAACUGGUCCCACUGCUGGAGCAGAUCACACAGGACGGCCAGGGCCAGGGCCAGAGCGAUGGAGGCAUCCACCUGGCAGAAGGCAAACUCUGCAAAGACAGGAGAAAGUGUCACCAGAAGGAUCAGGAAGGCUUCCCUGUCCAGUGUCUCCUCUGCACAUCUGCCUGGAUUUGACUGGUUUGCCCUUUCCUUGGAAAGCAGAUCUCUUGGGCACAAGACACAUCCUAGAGCAGGGCAUCGGCAAGCUUUUCCUUAAAGGGCCAGAGAGUCAAUAUUUUAGACUUUGCAAGCCUAUACCUCCUCACCUCGGCUGAAAGCAGCCAUGGACAAUCUGUAAACAAAUGGUUGUGGCUGUGUUCCAAUAAAACUUUAUUUAUGGACACUGA